UGAGCGGGGAGCCCAGCAGCUGCAGCACGUGCAGCACCUCGGCGUGGGACACGGGGACAGGGCUGGACACCUCCCCUGCCUCCGGGGACAGCAGCUCCCUGUCCCUGUCCACCAUUGACACAGCCAGGCUGCUCCGGGCCUUCGGGCAGCACAGGCUGGCCCCAAGCACCGACACCCCCAGCCCAGCCCCAGAGCUGUCCCCAGAGCUGUCCCCGAGGCUGGCCCGGCUGUACCGUGCCAUCAGCCAGCAGAAGAGGCGCUCUGAGAAGUGGCAGGAGCAGAACGGAGCAGCAGGGACUGCAGGAUGUCAGAGCCUCGGGAAGGGCCAGCAGAGCCAGAGCGGCAUGCCCUUCUCAGACUCCACCUGUGCCAGCAGCAGCUCCUGGGGCCCCAGCUGUGCCCUGAGCCACAAGAGACGGGCACGGAUGCUGAACAAAGGCAUCCAGGCAGGGGACCUGGAGAUUGUCAGCAGUGCCACCAAGAGGAACACCCGGGACGUUGGGGUGACCUUCCCCACGCCCAGGAGCAGCCAGCAGCUGUGGGAGCCCCCGGGGCAGGGCCAGGGCACAGCCUGGCAGCAGCCCCGGGCACCGCCGGGCAGGCGUCCUGACAGACACACGGACCAGGAGGGGCAGGCUGCACUUCCAGCAAGGUCAGUGCCGGGGCAGGGCUGGGGACAGGCAGGGCUGGGGACACCUGGGACAGGGCUGGGGACAGGCAGGGCAGGGCUGGGGACAGGCAGGGCAGGGCCGGGGACACCUGGGAC
ensembl:lncRNA